CUUCUAUCUGUGUGGAGAGAUGUCAGUUGUGCAAGAGAGACGUAACUACAAACCAUGAUCAGAGGGAAACUGCAAUCUUGGAUUUUAGGAAGCCAAAGAGAGACAAAGUCACAAGGAUGUACUGUGCUGCAGUUUCAAACA